UACGUAGGGUGCAAGCGUUGUCCGGAAUUAUUGGGCGUAAAGAGCUCGUAGGCGGUUUGUCGCGUCUGGUGUGAAAAUCCAGGGCUUAACCCUGGACCUGCAUCGGGUACGGGCAGACUAGAGUGCGGUAGGGGAGAUCGGAAUUCCUGGUGUAGCGGUGAAAUGCGCAGAUAUCAGGAGGAACACCCGUAGCGAAGGCGGCACUCUGGGCCGAUACUGACACUGAGGAGCGAAAGCGUGGGGAGCGAACAGG
rnacentral:rRNA from 1 species